AUGACAUUCAAGAUUUCCAUUCCAUUCAUCAAAUAAAUCAUUAUGUUUUCAACAUAAAAUCGCAAUUCAUAGCAUGUAACAUAUCAAAGAACCAACAAAGCACAAUAUUAUCCUCUAGUCACAUUGAUUAACUAAUCUAAUCAUAUUAAUAACAAUCAUAUCCAACAUCAUUCCACAAUCACUUCAAUUAACCAAUUCCAUGAAUCAAGGAGGCACAAUAUUAACAUUUAAUUACGUUAAUCAAUCAAUAAGAUCAUAUAUCACCUCACAAAAUUUAAUAAAAGAAGUCUAUACAAUUCCCCACUUAGAUUAUAAAUAAUAACAUGGUAAAUCUAAUUUAUAAACACAAUGCCUACUUUGAGCAAUUACUAUUCACUUGAAUCUAAGGCCGGACUAACCUUAUGGAAAU
rnacentral:lncRNA from 1 species